CAGUAGCCGCGGUAAUACGAAGGGUGCAAGCGUUAAUCGGAAUUACUGGGCGUAAAGCGUGCGUAGGCGGCUUGUUAAGACUGUUGUGAAAUCCCCGGGCUCAACCUGGGAAUGGCAAUGGAUACUGGCAAGCUAGAGUGUGUCAGAGGAUGGUGGAAUUCCCGGUGUAGCGGUGAAAUGCGUAGAGAUCGGGAGGAACAUCAGUGGCGAAGGCGGCCAUCUGGGACAACACUGACGCUGAGGCACGAAAGCGUGGGGAGCAAACAGGAUUAGAUACCCGUGUAGUCCCUGUCUCUUAUAC
rnacentral:rRNA from 1 species